rnacentral:rRNA from 1 species
AACCAACCGGGAUUGCCUUAGUAACGGCGAGUGAAGCGGCAAAAGCUCAAAUUUGAAAUCUGGUACCUUCGGUGCCCGAGUUGUAAUUUGGAGAGGGCAACUUUGGGGCCGUUCCUUGUCUAUGUUCCUUGGAACAGGACGUCAUAGAGGGUGAGAAUCCCGUGUGGCGAGGAGUGCGGUUCUUUGUAAAGUGCCUUCGAAGAGUCGAGUUGUUUGGGAAUGCAGCUCUAAGUGGGUGGUAAAUUCCAUCUAAAGCUAAAUAUUGGCGAGAGACCGAUAGCGAACAAGUACAGUGAUGGAAAGAUGAAAAGAACUUUGAAAAGAGAGUGAAAAAGUACGUGAAAUUGUUGAAAGGGAAGGGCAUUUGAUCAGACAUGGUGUUUUGUGCCCUCUGCUCCUUGUGGGUAGGGGAAUCUCGCAUUUCACUGGGCCAGCAUCAGUUUUGGUGGCAGGAUAAAUCCAUAGGAAUGUAGCUUGCCUCGGUAAGUAUUAUAGCCUGUGGGAAUACUGCCAGCUGGGACUGAGGACUGCGACGUAAGUCAAGGAUGCUGGCAUAAUGGUUAUAUGCCGCCCGUCUUGAAACACGGACCUCCUGUGU